CUCAAAAACUUAGUCUCAGUUCGGAUUGUAGGCUGAAACUCGCCUACAUGAAGCUGGAGUUGCUAGUAAUCGCGAAUCAGCAUGUCGCGGUGAAUACGUUCCCGGGCCUUGUACACACCGCCCGUCACACCAUGAGAGUUGGCAAUACCCAACGCACGUGAUCUAACCCGCAAGGGAGGAAGCGUCCUAAGGUAGGGUCAGCGAUUGGGGUGAAGUCGUAACAAGGUACC
rnacentral:rRNA from 1 species